rnacentral:rRNA from 1 species
UACGGAGGGGGCUAGCGUUGUUCGGAAUUACUGGGCGUAAAGCGCACGUAGGCGGCUUUGUAAGUUAGAGGUGAAAGCCUGGAGCUCAACUCCAGAAUUGCCUUUAAGACUGCAUCGCUUGAAUCAUGGAGAGGCGGGUGGAAUUCCGAGUGUAGAGGUGAAAUGCGUAGAGAUCCGGAGGGAACACCCCGUGGCGAAGGCGGCAUCCUGGACCGGCAUUGACGCUGAGGCGCGAAAGCCCAGGGGAGCGGAAC